AGGCAGCAGUAAGGAAUCUUGGUCAAUGGGGCAACCCUGAACCAGCCAUGCCGCGUGCAGGAAGAAGGCCCUCCGGGUUGUAAACUGCUUUUGUCAGGGACUAAUAAAUACCUAUACGGUAUGAUGUCGGUACCUGAAGAAUAAGCACCGGCUAACUACGUGCCAGCAGCCGCGGUAAUACGUAGGGUGCAAGCGUUGUCCGGAUUUAUUGGGUUUAAAGGGUGCGCAGGCGGCCCGGUAAGUUAGUGGUGAAAGCGUUCUGCUCAACAGGAUACUCGCCAUUAAUACUGCCAGGCUUGAGUAUGUUCGAGGAAGUUGGAAUGCGUGGUGUAGCGGUGAAAUGCUUAGAUAUCACGCAGAAUAUCAAUUGCGAAGGCAGACUUCUAGGACACAACUGACGCUCAGGCACGAAAGCGUGGGGAGCAAACAGGAUUAGAUACCCUGGUAG
rnacentral:rRNA from 1 species